rnacentral:rRNA from 1 species
CCUACGGGUGGCAGCAGUGAGGAAUAUUGGUCAAUGGCCGGAAGGCUGAACCAGCCAAGCCGCGUGAAGGACGAAGGUGCCAAGCAUUGUAAACUUCUUUUGUCAAGGGACAAAAUCAGGCUCGAGAGCCUGACCGAGGGUACUUGAAGAAAAAGCAUCGGCUAACUCCGUGCCAGCAGCCGCGGUAAUACGGAGGAUGCGAGCGUUAUCCGGAUUUAUGGGGUUUAAAGGGUGCGUAGGCGGGCGGUUAAGUCAGCGGUAAAAGCCCGGGGCUCAACCCCGGCGAGCCGUUGGAACUGGCUGUCUUGAGAUGUCGAGAGGUAUGCGGAAUGCGCAGUGUAGCGGUGAAAUGCUUAGAUAUUGCGCAGAACUCCGAUUGCGAAGGCAGCAUACCGGCGGCGAUCUGACGCUGAGGCACGAAAGCGUGGGUAUCGAACAGGAUUAGAUACCCUUGUAGUC